UUUAAUAUGUUCUUUGAUUUUUGUUUAAUGAAAAAAUUUGUUCCGCUUUGGUUUGGCAAACCUAUGCUUGGAUUUUAAGAUAAUUUUAUUUCUCAAGUUCAUUGCAAAAAGCUUAAACUAUAUAUAACUUAGAUAUAAUCAACCUCCGCCCAAGCAGAUUCGAAAUGUUGUGCAAGAGGAGCAUAAAUUAAAAAUAAAUCUUUGACUUUGUCCCUCUAAGGCACUGAUAAAAGUGCUGAACAUAAAAUACUGAAGCUUAUAAUCGUGUCCGUACCAGUUCAUUGUGCUGGAGUAUUUAAGUAGUAUAUAUAGUAGAGUAUUUCUCUUUUCUUUUUUGUAAGAGUUUAAAAUUAAAGGCUAAUUCUGUG